rnacentral:rRNA from 1 species
GAUGAACGCUGGCGGCGUGCCUAAUACAUGCAAGUCGAGCGAACAGACGAGGAGCUUGCUCCUCUGACGUUAGCGGCGGACGGGUGAGUAACACGUGGAUAACCUACCUAUAAGACUGGGAUAACUUCGGGAAACCGGAGCUAAUACCGGAUAAUAUAUUGAACCGCAUGGUUCAAUAGUGAAAGACGGUUUUGCUGUCACUUAUAGAUGGAUCCGCGCCGCAUUAGCUAGUUGGUAAGGUAACGGCUUACCAAGGCAACGAUGCGUAGCCGACCUGAGAGGGGGAUCGGCCACACUGGAACUGAGACACGGUCCAGACUCCUACGGGAGGCAGCAGUAGGGAAUCUUCCGCAAUGGGCGAAAGCCUGACGGAGCAACGCCGCGUGGGUGAUGAAGGUCUUCGGAUCGUAAAACUCUGUUAUUAGGGAAGAACAAAUGUGUAAGUAACUAUGCACGUCUUGACGGUACCUAAUCAGAAAGCCACGGCUAACUACGGG